ACUACGGUAGUCUAAUAGAUAUUUGAUUUCGACUCAAAAGAACUUACCCAUCAUAAGCCAUAGUA
rnacentral:tRNA from 1 species